UUGAUGAAGUUGCAAAGCAAGCUCUCACUGGUGUAUUUCAAAGAACCUAACAAGCUGAUUCUAAAAGAUUUAUGGAAUAGCAAAGAGCUCAGAGAAGCCAAGAUACUGCUAAAGAAGAAUGCCAGGGCUCAUGGCCUAUCAAAUCCAAUAAAAAAACAGGAAUCCUGUUGAGGACCAGCCCACGUAUACCCUUCCAUUCUGGUCUAGCAUAGGACCUG